CAUGUCUUGAAACUCAAGCUUAAUUACUUCUCUGGGGCUUGUUUAUUUCAUCAUCUCCAGGGUUUGGAAUUUGACCUGUGAAGUCUGAGUGUCCAUUGAAUUUAUUAUUACACCUUCUUACUAAUCAGGCAUACUUUCUUGAUAGAAAAGUACAUCUGCCAUAGUACCUCCUAACAAUAUCACCUUCAAAUCUCAUUUUUCUCAUCUUGGAGAGCACAUUCGACUGUGAGAGAG
rnacentral:lncRNA from 1 species